rnacentral:lncRNA from 1 species
AAUGAGGCACAGGGCGGAUGAACAGAACAGGACUGAUACUUGACAUGCGAGUCAGAACAAGCUGGGCAGACGAAUUUACUGCAGCGAAGGACUAAUGCUACCCCUAAGCAAGGGAGAUUUUUGUGGCACCAACAAAAUCCUGCAUUAUGGACCCUGAAAUGAUGGCCCAAGGUCACACAAACGAGAACACAUCCAAACCAAAGAGAUCAUCAGAACUACCCACCAGAGAAACUCGGUCUCUUUCACCUACAUAACCCAGAGACUCUUGUGAACACUUUGAAACAGCGUCAUCAGUACUCUGCACUUGCCAGUGUGAUCAUGCCCUUUAGGUAAAUAAAUAAAUAAAUAAAUAAAUAAAUAAAU